rnacentral:rRNA from 1 species
UGGGGAAUAUUGGACAAUGGGCGCAAGCCUGAUCCAGCCAUGCCGCGUGUGGGAAGAAGGCCUUCGGGUUGUAAACCACUUUUGUCAGGGAAGAAACGGCUCUUACUAAUAUUAGGAGCUAAUGACGGUACCUGAAGAAUAAGCACCGGCUAACUACGUGCCAGCAGCCGCGGUAAUACGUAGGGUGCAAGCGUUAAUCGGAAUUACUGGGCGUAAAGCGUGCGCAGGCGGCUUUGCAAGACAGAUGUGAAAUCCCCGGGCUCAACCUGGGAACUGCAUUUGUGACUGCAAGGCUAGAGUACGGUAGAGGGGGAUGGAAUUCCGCGUGUAGCAGUGAAAUGCGUAGAUAUGCGGAGGAACACCGAUGGCGAAGGCAAUCCCCUGGACCUGUACUGACGCUCAUGCACGAAAGCGUGGGGAGCAAACAGGAUUAGAUACCCCAGUAGUCCCUGAGCGGGCUGGCAAGGCG